rnacentral:rRNA from 1 species
ACACGUAGGGGGCGAGCGUUGUUCGGAAUCAUUGGGCGUAAAGGGCGUGCAGGCGGUCCUGCAAGUCCGGCGUGAAAGACCCCGGCCCAACCGGGGGGACGCGCUGGAAACUGCGGGGCUUGAGUACAGGAGGGGAUGACGGAAUUCCAGGGGUAGGGGUGAAAUCUGUAGAUCUCGGGAAGAACACCAAUGGCGAAGGCAGGCAUCUGGACAUGUACUGACGCUGCGACGCGAAGCGGCGGGGAGCAAGCAGGUUUCGAUACCCUGGUCGUCCGCACAGUAAACGAUGUGCACCAGGUGGCGGGGGGUCGCCCAUCGGUACCGUAGCUAACGCAUUAAGUGCACCGCCUGGGGAGUAUGCUCGCAAGGGUGAAGCUCAAAGGAAUUGACGGGG